rnacentral:lncRNA from 1 species
AAUAUUUAGUAAGUAGCAAUUAUAGUUUAGCAAUUUAAGAGUUAUACAAGAGAAGGAAGCAUCCCCCUUUUGGAGGUCGGAGUUCAAGAGAUAGCUUUUCGGUUACUCCGCUCUAUUCUCUUUAGCUCUACUCCGAUCUACCUGUUCGGCUCUACAAAUCCAGCUCUCUAGCUAUCUGACUCUCCGACGGCUCGACGCUCCUCUUCCGGCUCUCCAACUCUCCGCUCUACGUCUUUGACUCUACUCUAUUUUCUUUUGCUGGUUACAGGUUAGUUUUUAUUUUUUUUGUAUUUACUCAGUUUAGAUGGUAACUUAUGAUGAUGAGAGUAUUGCCGCCGUACAUAUUGGCAUUUCUCCUAUUUCUGAGGAAGAAGAAAUUCUUUCUACUCCCUCUGAAGCCCCUUC